GUCAAAGUAAGUUUCAAUCAUUUGCUUCCCUAGGAUGAGAACCAAAACAAAGCACAGAGGUUACCCCAGAGAUGCAUUGGGCAGAGCAGAGACCAAGCAGCCUGCAGCAGCCAAAAAGAUUGAUUCUCCCUGUUUCAUGGAUGCGCACAGGAGAGUCUGUCUGAGUCUCAUGUAGGGACACUGCUGACAGCUGUCACUCACUCAGGGCAUCACUUGCCCCAUCUGAAAAUAACCAUAAAAGGUGUUGCCUUGACAACCCCCAAAAUGAGUGAUCAUAUUAUUCAUACUCAACACUGGAGAGCCCAAGCAACAGCAAGGCGGGCCCCCCCUAACAGCCUGCCGGUGCGUGCCCAUCCGCACCCAGAAGGAGGAGGAGAGAGAGCUGGGUGUUGGGUCAAUCACAAGACUACUAUGAGCCACCUAUGUCAUGCAGCUGGACAAAAGGCAAAUGCAUCCUUGGAUGUAUCAAGCACGGCAUACCCAGUAAAGACAGAGAUGUAUUAAUGCCAUCAUACAAGGCACUGAAAACAAUGAAGGGAAGAGACGUGAGCCACACAGAAGGUGAAACACUGGCUCUUCUACAGAGAUUUUCACUGGCUCUCAUUUGUGUUUAUUCUGUAAAACAUCAUGGGUCUGACUUUCAGAGGCUCUGAACACCCACAGGCCCCACUGAUUUCAAAACAGGCCCCAGACUUUAGAACUUUGGGAGUCAGGAAUCCAUAGUUUUUCCCAAUGGAGGCUGGAUAUGAUAGAACACUGGAUUACAAUGAAACCCCCAUGCACUCAGCUGCUGGAGAGCUCCCUGUUACUGUUCACAUGAAACUCUGAGUGGGGGAAAAGACAAAAAAACCCAACACUCACGUACCUAGAAUAUCUUCAAAGGUGGCAUGUUCAUGAUCCUGGAACCGAACAGAAAGGAUGUUUCAAACCUAGGUGCUGCUAGAUACUCAUCAUUUAAAGAGAUCUCCUCAUGCGACAGAGAACAAUGCUACACUAGGUAAGCAUGUAAGUUGAGAUUCAAUUAAACCAACUGGUGGUCUCAGUCAACAUCACAAGCAUCAUUGCCCUUAUGUUAAGAUCCAUGUGUGACAAUAAACAAAAGCUUUGUAAGUUACAGGAAGCAGGUGGACUUCAAAAA